UUCCUGCCCACUCCUAGAAUUGUCUGAUUUAGCUUAAAUGGUUUUUUUUUAAAAGUUCAUUUAGUAAUAGCAUCCAGGUAAAAUGGUACACUAACUCCCAAACUGAUCGUAUGUGCUUUAACCCACGUCGUUUUCUUUCUGUAUGUACUUGAGUGUCAUAUUGGGUUAGAUUUUUAUCAUUACUCCGUCACUCUGAAUGCUUGCUGCCUUAGACGUAUACUUGUAUGUGCCUGUUUUUUUGAGUGGAUGAAUAUUUGGUGUUUAGCCUAAUGCACGAAAGAAGAAACAAAUAGGGGACUGAGCAUGAAAUUAAUUUCCGUUUCUUUUAGUUUUAUUUUAUUACUUUUGUUACCUCUUCCGCUAGGAGCAUGUUAGAACACUUGGAUAGGCAAUCUUUGGAGUUUUCAUUUGCUUUUGGUUUCGAGGCGAGAGGUCCUCCCUUAGUUAAAUUUAUCCGGGGAGUGCCCCGAAGGACUUGUGUAUAUUUUAUUCCGGGAAAUGCCCCGAAGUACUUAUAUUUGGAUGCCUAAAGUGAAACUCAUAGUAUUUUUAGUUUUAUUUUCCUUUUAUUAGGUGGGAGCGACCUCAGACCUCUUGUGUGUUUGUCUUUCUUUUGUG
rnacentral:lncRNA from 1 species